AAAAUACAGCUGCUUGGAUUUUUAAUUUUUUUCGCGUUUUUUUUUUGUAUCUUAUCAGUAAUCAUCAGUACUAUCAAAUAUCUUCGUUGCUGCUAGCGUUUUGGUUUCACCCUGUA